rnacentral:SRP_RNA from 1 species
GGUCGGACUAGGCCGGGCGGUUAGGCCCCGCCCCGACGCCCGCACUACGGUCUUCAGCGGGGGCCGAACCCGGGGGCGUCCGGUCAGACCGGGGCGGGCCCCGGAAGCCAACGUGGAAGCCUCGUCCCUCGGGGGCGACGGUCCACGGCGGUCGCCUGCAGGGGCGCGUCGUCGUGGUUCACCGGCGGCAGCGGGUCAGGCGCGGAAGCGAGCAGCCCGCCGUCGGACGCCCGCCGCUCGGGGGGUCGCGGGGUGGAGGAGGCGACCGGGUUUCCCCGUCUCGGAACGGUCGGGCAAUCCCGCCGUCCGCUC